rnacentral:rRNA from 1 species
CGCCCUCCGAAGUUAGGCUAACCACUUCUGGUGCAGUCCACUCCCAUGGUGUGACGGGCGGUGUGUACAAGGCCCGGAACGUAUUCACCGUGCCAUUCUGAUGCACGAUUACUAGCGAUUCCGACUUCACGGAGUCGAGUUGCAGACUCCGAUCCGGACUGAGACCGGCUUUAUGAGAUUAGCUCCCCCUCGCGGGAUUGCAGCCCAUUGUACCGGCCAUUGUAGCACGUGUGUAGCCCUACUCGUAAGGGCCAUGAUGACCUGACGUCGUCCCCACCUUCCUCCGGUUUGUCACCGGCAGUCUCCCUAGAGUUCCCGACCGAAUCGCUGGCAAAUAGGGACAAGGGUUGCGCUCGUUACGGGACUUAACCCAACAUUUCACAACACGAGCUGACGACGGCCAUGCAGCACCUGUCUGAGCGUUCCCGAAGGCACCAAUCCAUCUCUGGAAAGUUCGCUCGAUGUCAAGAGUAGGUAAGGUUCUUCGCGUUGCAUCGAAUUAAACCACAUGCUCCACCGCUUGUGCGGGCCCCCGUCAAUUCAUUUGAGUUUUAACCUUGCGGCCGUACUCCCCAGGCGGUCGACUUAUCGCGUUAACUGCGCCACAAAGGUCUCGAGGACCCCAACGGCUAGUCGACAUCGUUUACGGCGUGGACUACCAGGGUAUCUAAUCCUGUUUGCUACCCACGCUUUCGCACCUCAGCGUCAGUGUCAGUCCAGAAGGCCGCCUUCGCCACUGGUAUUCCUCCCGAUCUCUACGCAUUUCACCGCUACACCGGGAAUUCUACCUUCCUCUCCUGCACUCUAGCCUGACAGUUCCGGAUGCCGUUCCCAGGUUGAGCCCGGGGCUUUCACAACCGGCUUAUCAAGCCGCCUACGCGCGCUUUACGCCCAGUAA